GACGAACGCUGGCGGCGUGCCUAAUACAUGCAAGUAGAACGCUGAAGGAGGAGCUUGCUCUUCUGGAUGAGUUGCGAACGGGUGAGUAACGCGUAGGUAACCUGCCUGGUAGCGGGGGAUAACUAUUGGAAACGAUAGCUAAUACCGCAUAAGAGUAGAUGUUGCAUGACAUUUACUUAAAAGGUGCAAUUGCAUCACAACCAGAUGGACCUGCGUUGUAUUAGCUAGUUGGUGGGGUAACGGCUUACCAAGGCGACGAUACAUAGCCGACCUGAGAGGGUGAUCGGCCACACUGGGACUGAGACACGGCCCAGACUCCUACGGGAGGCAGCAGUAGGGAAUCUUCGGCAAUGGACGGAAGUCUGACCGAGCAACGCCGCGUGAGUGAAGAAGGGUUUCGGAUCGUAAAGCUCUGUUGUAAGAGAAGAACGAGUGUGAGAGUGGAAAGUUCACACUGUGACGGUAUCUUACCAGAAAGGGACGGCUAACUACGUG
rnacentral:rRNA from 1 species